rnacentral:rRNA from 1 species
AGGACGAACGCUGGCGGCGUGCUUAACACAUGCAAGUCGAACGGGGAUAGUUGAGGAAGGGCUUCGGCCUGGAAACGAUUAUUCGAGUGGCGGACGGGUGAGGGUAACGCGUGAACAAUCUGUCCCAGACAGGGGGAUAACACUUGGAAACAGGUGCUAAUACCGCGUGAGACCACGGUAUCGCAUGGUACUGAGGUAAAAGGAGCAAUCCGGUUUGGGGUGAGUUCGCGUCCGAUUAGCCAGUUGGUGAGGUAACGGCCCACCAAAGCGACGAUCGGUAGCCGAUCUGAGAGGAUGACCGGCCACAUUGGAACUGAGAGACGGUCCAAACCCCUACGGGAGGCAGCAGUGGGGAAUAUUGGGCAAUGGGCGAAAGCCUGACCCAGCAACGCCGCGUGAGUGAAGAAGGCCUUCGGGUUGUAAAGCUCUGUUAUAGGGGACGAAGGAAGUGACGGUACCCUAUAAGGAAGCCCCGGCUAACUACGUGCCAGCCGCCGC